GAUGAACGCUGGCGGUAUGCUUAACACAUGCAAGUCGAACGGACUCUUCGGAGUUAGUGGCGGACGGGUGAGUAACGCGUGAGAAUCUGGCUUUGGGUUCGGGACAACCACUGGAAACGGUGGCUAAUACCGGAUGUGCCGAGAGGUAAAAGAGAAAUUGCCUGAAGAUGAGCUCGCGUCUGAUUAGCUAGUUGGUGAGGUAAAGGCUCACCAAGGCAGCGAUCAGUAGCUGGUCUGAGAGGAUGACCAGCCACAGUGGGACUGAGACACGGCCCAGACUCAUACGGGAGGCAGCAGUGGGGAAUUUUCCGCAAUGGGCGAAAGCCUGACGGAGCAAUACCGCGUGAGGGAAGAAGGCUCUUGGGUUGUAAACCUCUUUUCUUAGGGAAGAACAAAAUGACGGUACCUAAGGAAUCAGCAUCGGCUAACUCCGUG
rnacentral:rRNA from 1 species